GAUUGUGGGUUCUCCUACCAGUUGCUGUCUGAGCUGUUGGUUCUGGAGAAGCUUUGGUCUUCACAUUGCGCAUUGCUUCCUGGCUCCGGAGGGGAAGACAUGUGCUGCCUGGUCUCCAAGAUGAACUUGUCAUGCUGCUUCCUGGCACGUACCCGAUUGUGCUUGGGGUCGGAGGGGCUCGGGGCCUCCGUGUCACUGAGGACAGCUGCGGUGCCUUUCAGGACAGCCCCGCUCUUUGUUAUGGCCAUCAAAAUUGUCUCCAUGACUGAGGCUCCCAUGAAGUUCUCCCAAAUAUUCUGCCCUGGAAGAUCUCAGUACUCAGAGAUACCUACAAGCACAUGAACCUGGUCUUCCCUGUGGCCUAAAGUAUACUCCAGUGCCAAGAUCCAGAUUCUGGAUAUUUACCAGCAUAUCACCGGUCCAGCCCUCCCUCUGGGGAGUACCAGGUUCAGCUGUGUAACACCUAUCAGAACAGCCUGCUGCUGGAGCUGGGGGAUUUUUCUGCCAUAUGAAACUCCUAGGACUCUGGCAACUUUUAGAGGUGGACUAAAGGCUUUUGCAUAGAGGGGCAACCUGCUGGAUGGAGCACAUCAACAAUGUUAGGUCAUUGCUGCUGCGGGAAAGGAAGGCUUGAAGGCUGUUCACACAACUGGUCAGCCUGAGGGCCUAUUGCCACCAUGCUGGCAUUGUGCAAUGAUAAGGGUACCCUUGGCCUGCCCAUCUGGAGACUCACUUGAAUCUAGCCCCCACCUCCCCUUCCCCAGCAGGUAUCUAAAUCGUGAGAACACUCUGCUGGAUGACCAGGGAUUCCAAGAGCUGAGCUGAGGACCCACCCACCCUCUGCUCCAAGUUUCCAUCCUGUCCUUCGGUUUCUGUGAAUAGGAUGACCUCUCCAAAUAGUGGCAUCAUUGGUGAUAGUGGGAAUGGGCCAUGAAUGUGGGUGGUUGAUGGGGGUAGAGGCAGGCUGCAGCCAUGGGCCUUGCCAGCAGAGUGCCAGGACCUACUUAGGGGCUGCUCCUGCUGACCCCAUCUGGGCCUGCACAAUGCUGGCUGCUGCCUGUGGCACAGUCUUUUGUUCUGGACUUGGUGCUUUGCUGGGUAUGGCCUAUGGGUAACAAGUUGGCAGAUGGUGGUCCCUUCACUUGACUUCCAUUGGUCCAAUGCAGUGCAGCUGAGGUCCAGGGAUGAGAAAGAGCCCAGUGUGGGCUUCAGGUUUGAGAUGCAUCUGUGGUACCCAAAGUGGCAGUGACCUCCCAAGAAGAGAACCUUGUGGCUCAGCGCUUGUGUUCUUGGAGGCCAGCCCCAUUCAAGGCAUGGGUUUCCAUAAGUCCAGAGGUCUGGGGCCCUAAGUUGGGCAGUCCCACAAAGCACAAAACACCUCCAGGCAGCGACUGCCUUGCCUUUGUGCUCCAUAGUGGCUUUCAGGAAAGUUGAGCAUAGGUGGAGUAAGCAGGUAAAAGGUUUAUUCUGUGAACUUGUGAGGAGGAGCUAUCUUCCUGUAGAGAAGGUAGAUGGUCUUCCGGUGAUUCCCUAGGCUGAGGCUCUGCCACUACCUCCUGGGAUUCUGGGACAGAGAAAAUACCAGUCCACACAUCAUGCCUGCCCACAGCACCAGAACUUUAAUGGGGCAGGUCAUAAGGCUCCAUAGGGGAAAGCAACACCUGCCAUUCAGUGAAGCACUGUCAGUUGCCAUAGCAGGUGAUCACAAAUUCACAGUGACUGCUUUUGUGUACUUCCCCCUGGGAUGAAAGGAAAGA